rnacentral:rRNA from 2 species
CAGCUCGUGUCGUGAGAUGUUGGGUUAAGUCCCGCAACGAGCGCAACCCUCGUCGUUAGUUACAAGUGUCUAGCGAGACUGCCGGUUAUACACCGGAGGAAGGUGAGGACGAUGUCAAGUCAGCAUGACCCUUAUAUCCAGGGCUACUAACACGCUACAAUGGGCCGUACAAUGGGCAGCCAAAGAGCAAUCUGGAGCAAAUCCCAGCAAAACGGUUCGUAGUUCGGAUUGGAGGCUGCAACUCGCCUCCAUGAAGUCGGAGUUGCUAGUAAACGCAGGUCAGCCAUACUGCGUUGAAUACCGUUCCCGGGUCUUGUACACACCGCCCGUCAAGUCAUGGAAGUUGGUAACACCUGAAGCCGGUGACCUAACCGCAAGGAAGGAGCUGUCGAGGGUGGGAUCGAUGACUGGGACUAAGUCGUAACAAGGUAGCCGUACCGGAAGGUGUGGCUGGAUCACCUCCUUUCGGA